CCCACCUCGGGAGAUCCGCACGAAGUUCACGAGCUGGCUUUGACAUCCAGCAUAAACAGCCGUUAACGAUUAUGACCAAAACUUUUAUGGCACAUCUAUAAAACAAAGGACUUUUUAUAUGUUACAAAAUUGAGCAAGCUCUGUGUUUCCUAGAGAGAUAAAUUCAGCCUUUCUUGCUCCUAAGAAUGAGUUUUAGUACUUUGUAAACUAAAGUAAGCCACACUAUAUAUGGGGCUGCUGGGAUGAAACAAAGGAAAGAAUUUUUAGUCAUAUUUCUCUUUAACCAGAUUUACCACAUUUCAUUACUUUGCUGCCUACUAUUGCUCUGUGAUCCCUAAGGAAAUAACUAGAUGAAAUUGAGAAUAAAAACAACAUAAAGUUGGAUAUUCAAUACCCUAGGUUGCAUAUACCCAAUCGGGUCACACGAUGAUUAAAUUUAGCGCUAGUUAACCUGAUUUCAAGUGCUGUUCAAUUCUGGAGACAAUGAGAAACAGAAUGUGUAUUCUACAUUAUCAGAAAAUAUUUAUAUUGAAACAUAGGGUUUUGAGUUUCCUUGCCAUCUAGGAAUAGGAACACACAACAGGCAGAGAGAUCACUGAAUAUUGUAUUCGUACUAUCAACUCAAUGAAGAUUUUAUUUGACCAAGGAGAGCAUUAGCCCACCACCCUUUGUUGCUCCCCUCUCCACACACACCACCUGUAGCACCCACCCUGUUGUGCUCUAGGAAAGGUACAGAGGCCAUCUGGAGGUUGGGAACCAUGACAUUUUUAACAGGCAGCUCCGUUUAGACUUAGUCUCCCCAAACUUUUCAACUGUGAAUGUAUUGCCUCAUUGUUUGAAAAGAGGCCCCAAAGCGUAGAGCAUCUGUGUAAGUCAGAAGAAAGAAUUCUCAGACGUUUAAAGCUGAUUAUAUGUAACAAGGCCGUGUAAUUUCUUCCUGGGGAAAGGGAGAGUGGAAUUUCCAAACCAAAUUAGUUCACUUUUGCCUGGACUGGUUUUAAUUAACUGUGAUUCUUCUGGAAAGCAUGGAGAUAGACCAGACGGCCUCUCAAGGUUCCUUCAAACCUGCCUGCUCUCUGCUGAACGACAAAAUGCUCCAAUUUUGAAUUCCGCAAGUCCUGAUUUAACAACAGCCUAAUGAGAGAAGAUGUUCGCAUUUCUUUAGUCUCUCUAAUGAGUAUUGGAAACCUCCACAUCCCAUGAGGCUGCCAAACCAGGGCAACCACAGCUCAGCUUCUCCCAAAAUGAGUGUCUGCUGCCCUCCUUAGACUAUUGGCCCAGCUCACGCAACACCACCCAGCAGUCACCAGCUGCCAGAGGUCGCCAUGGUCCCAGCCACAAUCACAGAGGACUUUUACUCAAGUUUUCUAAAAUAAGAUUGUUAUAUAAAUGUCACGGCCAACCACACUCACAGUUCAGAGUUCUUAAUUUUAGUCUGUGUUUGUACCUUAAAAGUUUCUACUGG
rnacentral:lncRNA from 1 species